rnacentral:rRNA from 1 species
CGAAAGCCUGACGGAGCAACGCCGCGUGAGGGAAGAAGGUCUUUGGAUUGUAAACCUCUUUUCUCAAGGAAGAAGUCAGUGACGGUACUUGAGGAAUCAGCAUCGGCUAACUCCGUGCCAGCAGCCGCGGUAAUACGGGGGAUGCAAGCGUUAUCCGGAAUUAUUGGGCGUAAAGAGUCCGUAGGUGGUCAUGCAAGUCUGCUGUCAAAGCCCACAGCUCAACUGUGGAUCGGCGGUGGAAACUGUGUGACUUGAGUGUGGUAGGGGUAGAGGGAAUUCCCAGUGUAGCGGUGAAAUGCGUAGAUAUUGGGAAGAACACCGGUGGCGAAAGCGCUCUACUGGGCCAUAACUGACGCUGAGGGACGAAAGCUAGGGGAGCG